GGGCCCAGUCACUGGGGGCCUGGUCAGUAGGGACAUGAAAUUAUCCUUGAACCAGAAAAAAAAAUCCCCAAUUCAACACUCCAUUUUUGUGAAGAGCUGGUUCCGAAUUCUGGGUCACUUUUUGGAAAAAAUAUCUGUUGUGGUAAACAGUGCUGCAUCUGUGAUCUCAAGUCUCUACUGGAAUUGGAUAGAGAUGGUGAAUUUCAGCCAGAGCGCCCAAAGAACUCGUGUCCCGCGCUCCUGAACGCCAUCAGCCGCCGCACCUCCAUCUUCCCUCCUCCCACGAGUCUCCUGCUCCCCGUGACUCUGGCCUCCUCGCAGUGUUGCUGGGCCACGUCAGGAAGUGCUGGAGGACGUGGCAUUGCACCAACACCAGGCGGCCAGCCGUGUGGCUCAUCCCGCAAAUCAGGCUCUUCCUGUGCAUGGAGAUGGAGUCCCUCUGGAGGCAGCCCGUGGCCCUGUUCUC
ensembl:lncRNA LINC00905 long intergenic non-protein coding RNA 905